CAUCUUGGAGCCAUCUGGGCACAGCCACGACUGUGGCUCUGGUCCUGCCAGGGUGUAGCCUUUGAAGAUGCUUCAAUGAAUUUCUAUUUUACUCCCCCUUAACUCCAUCUAGCUUCUGCUGCAGCUCCUUAAGGCAUCAAGGGAACAGACUGGAACCUGUCUGUGUGUCCUGCAGUAGGUGGGUUCUGACCGUCCCUCCAGGAGGAACUGGGAAGGCUCAGAGCAGGAAUUCAGGAGUCAAGGCUGAUGUUUGUGGUGCAUGAAUACCCACAGAGUUGGAAUGAGCUGCAUUCAGCAAGAUAGCCAACAGUUUUCAGCCUUGUUCUAUGACAGUCAGCCCUCCCUUGGCUUUCAAGGAGCCUGUGCCUGUGUCCCAGCAGUGUGUGGGCAGGGGUACAGUUUUCAGACAGUCACUGCCUGGGUGAGUGGAGAAAAUGCUGAAGCACUGAGAGAAAACCACUCCUGAAGAGCAGCAGAACUUGCCCAGAAGGAUGUUUCAUAGUGCAGCAAUUAACUGAUACACCAGGCUAUCAGGUGCCAAGGGGCUCUUUCCAUGGAAGAGGACAUCUGAAUCCAAGACAUUUAUUUUGCAUCUGAGGAGGUGCAGUGAGAGCCAGAGGUCACUCUUCUCCUGGCCAGUAAAUCUGUGAGAAAGUGGCAAUGAAAUGUUAAUUACCUCCAAAAUUAUCUGCCUCCAGUUAUUGCUAGAAAUGGCAUUGAAAACAACAAAAUGUUGAACCUCAUGCAGCCACUUCACCAAGACUUCAAGACUUUUGACACUGGUGCAAAGGCUUCCACAGCAGAUCUGCACUGCAUGGAGAAGCUUUUCCUUCUGAUGCCUGCUUGCCUAAUUCCAUGAACAGAGACCAAGAGUUUGCCAGCCUGAGUAUAUUCCAAGGUGAUGAAUACCAUGGGACAACGUGAAACUCACAGACUGGUUUGAUUUCACUAUGAACACGGGACUGGUAACUGCUGUGUAAAUGAGUCAUCUGAAGAAUUAAAAAGCAGCCCAGGAGCACAGCAGGAUUCAUGGACAGCACCAUGGUUUGGAACCAGAGCUCUGCUAUGGGCUGGUUUUUAGACCUUUACCAUGGCUCCUGAAGGACUUCUGGCAGGAUCUCCAGGAGAUGGAUGCACGUGCUGAGGUUUGCAAAGGGGUGAAGGGACAACAGAUACCUCAUGGGCAGCUGGUGCUUGCAGCCCUGUGUUUUUUUCCUUUGGAAAUACCAGAAAAAUUGAUUUCUGCUGGCUGACAAGGAGAAGCAGGGCCUCCACAUCACUGGUGUCUUUCCAGUCAAGUACCCAACUCCUCUGGGGCUUUUUAGUGCUGUAGCCUUGGAGACAACUAGAAAGAAAUCAAUUAUUGAGUCAAUGCCAAGUGGGAAAACGAGACCAAGAGCCUUCCAAGAGCACAAAAAACUGAGAUGAGACUGAAAAAAAUAAACAAGAAGAAUGGUAGUCCUACCUCACUCUGAAGUGGAGCUCACAUAAAAUAAAUGCUGGUGGGUUUGCUUUCCAAGUGGAACAUGGGAGAGAGUGAGCGAGGGAGAUUGCGAAAGAAAAAUUAUUUGUACAUUAAAUAUCUGGAGGGAGCACUUUCAGUCAUGCUGGAGACUCCAAUUUUUUCCAAAGCAUCCUGCAGCAGACUGCACAAAUGCCUAGGAAAGAGUAAAGGUGUCUUGGAUCAGACAGCACCCAAUAUGUUUAUGCAGCCCUGAUGGGAAGAGACAUGUUUAUUCAAGCUGCUUGCCAAAAUUAUAUAUGCUGGAGGCUGCUAAGGAAGGGAAAGAACUUAAUAUUUGUAACAGUGCAAUGUUAUAUAUAUGUAUAAGAAAACCCACCUAAGCAAAAUGGAUUCUAAGUAAUUUCAAGCCAGGAUUUCACAAACUGGAAAGGAACAAGGGAGAGGAAAAACAGGGUGGCGGACAGGAAAAUGUUUUGAGUUGGAUUCUUACCUCACAGGAGCUCCACAGUGAGUCAGUGUGAGCAGGAAUUGAGUGUGUUGUCCUCCACAGAGGGGACGUCACUGUCCCACCCUCCCUCCCUUCCCAACUCCACCAGUACCUCCAUCCUUGAAUGCCUGUCGGGCAAUUGGGACCCACAAACCAGCCUAGCUGAACCCCAAGUAUUUUUUCUUGGGGUGAAUUAAUUCCCUGAAUCAACAAACCAGCAAGUUUGUAGGUAUAAUGGAAAAUAAUAUCUACAUCAUUCCAUUCCUCCAAUGGAAUAAUAUCUAUAGAAUGCCAUUACUCUGAGAUUGUGGCAUCUCGUCACUAAGUUGAAAAAAUAAAUAACCAAAAACUCCAUGACCUUGGAUGCUUGAAAAAUUGCAGAGAUCCUGAAAAGCACAUUUUCUAGCCCAAGCCUACUUGCUCUAAACUUUGGAGCUGUAUCUCUUUGCUAGAUUGAGCUGGAUCUCACUAUUGAAAUGUAACUCAUAUGCAAGAGCCUCGUAUAAUCUGCCCCAAGGAAUUAUUACUGCACUUAAACCAAAUUGUUUUGCAAGCACUGGGUUUCUGUUCUGUAAUAAAUCUAAACUUUCUUUGUCUUGCUUUAUUUUGCUUCAGUGAACAACAUCCACUCAUUGUCUUUUCUUCCCGAGACGUUUGAAUAAUUAUUGUUUUCAAAGCAAGAGGUUUUGUUUGAUUAAGUAUAAAUAGUUGUAUAAAUCUGCAUACCUCAAAACACAGAAAAAGAAAGACAGGGAGAUGAGACAGCAGAAAGAAAAUUAGGAGAGACGAUUAAAGGAGAAAAAGAGAGAAAAUAGAGUCUUUCUGUUUGAGUCACUGCAGCUCUUUGACUUGCAUUUGUGAUAUUUUCAAGGAGCUUGAGAUCUUGGUUCUCAAGAAGAACUUGGAAAGACCCAGUUAUGUAGCAGAUGAUUUUGUGGACACAUAUCCUGCAUCCCUCUGUCUCCCUCACCUGUCUAGAGCCAGAGGCAAGCACAGAAGCAGGGUCCUGCAGAAUCAGCUGAGUCUGUCUUGUUUUUUAAUUAAAUGUGAGAAAUCCCUUAGCUAUUGUUUUAACAUUUAAAAAAAAUAAAUUUUUUAACAGGAGCAUUUUUACCACUUUCUUAUCAAGCCAAACAACAAAGUGGGGAGUGGGGUGAAGAAAUUUACCUCUACCUCAGCCAACACAAGGACAGGGUUUGUCCACUUUUGCUUUGCCCCUUUCCUAGAAAUUCUCUCACAGGAUUAUCCUAAAACUCUCUGCCCGUACCCCAGGGACUGGAUCGUCACCAGCCCCAUCCACCUGCAUGGGAAAGCAGCAAGCAGGAAGGAAAAGGAGGCUGUGAGUGCCAUGGAAAUGGCCAUUCAGCAGGGAUCAGCAGGGCGAAGGAGAAAGGAUUUCGAUGCAGGCUGUGUCCAGAUGUGCAGCUGCAGUGUGGGGAAUACCUUGCCUCACACAGCACAGUUUGCACUUUUAUCGUGUGGAAGCUGAAUUCUUUGGGGUUUUUCUUAGGCAAACAAUUGCUGUGCUAUUCUUGAAGCAGCACUUCCUCCCUCUGGGAAAGCCCAGGCACCUCAGCUUCCAUUCUUGUGAUCCAAAUCUUGGCUCUCCUGCUCAAGCAAUGCAUUUUUCUGAUAUUGUAGCUCAGAAAAAAUAUAAAAUGCAAUAAAAUCUUCAAAAUACUUAAUAGAGUGGAUCUUGAAGCUUUAUAGGCAAAGAUCUUGGGUGCCCUUUACCCUGUAAUUUCACUGAAAUACUUUGUAACCGAAGAAAUUUAAAAACAAAUCUAUCAAAGGAUUUAAUUUUCCAUGAUUUAAGCAUAGUUUUAAGGAACAUUUUGCACUUACUGGCUUUGUGCUUUGUGUAAAUGUACUAGGUGUUGCCAAUAUUUUUUAAUCUGUAUCUGCAUUAACUUGUAUUUACCAUCUGUUCCUUAAAUGGAACCCCUGUAAUAGGUUAUGUUUAACUUUAGAUUAAUGAAGAAAAAUGGGCCUGCAAUCACAUUUUGUUGUAAACUGUUGUCUCAGCUCUACCUUUAGUGUCAUUUACAGCAGGUGGGCAAUGACAAGGGAUUUUGUGGUGGUGCCUCAGCAAAGUGGGCCAUGGCCAGGCCCUGUGGAAGGUCACCCUCUGAGCCUCUCAGGAAUUUCUGAUGGGAAAAAUUGGUGCUAUUUCCAAUAGGAAACUUCAGUAGAAUUGGAUGUAUUGGAAUAAGGAAUAUUUGUCCUGCAAGGGACAAUUCUAUUGGUAAGUCAGUAUUUUCAGGGGAGGUGUUUAUUAAAAUUUCUCAGUUUGAAAUAGCUGUCUUGGGGAGGUUUUAGCAAAGUCAGUGUGUCAUCUGGCAACCCAAGACAUUUGUAUCAAACAGGACACCCCAAACUCACUACCUCUGAAUCUGUAGCUCCAAGUGCAGAGAUUAGAGUCCUUUGAGGACUAAAAUGUCACGUUCAAAAGGAAUAACUUGGUUUUUACAUUGUUUGGAAAUGUCUUCCGUGCCUCCUAGAGAACAUACAAACAAAAAGAGAGCAAAAACAUACAAAAGAAUAUUCCAAGAAAAUGUUGCAACGAGAAGAUAAUGACAGAGAACUUCCUCUGUUUGGAUCAGCAAAUACAAAGAAAAUCUCUACAAACAAACUUCUUUCAGUAAGGCUACGAGUGAAGUUCACAGCACAGGUCAUGAGAUCCUGGGCUGUAACUUCCAUUUUGGGGGGGAAUUACUGGAAGAAAUUGCUGCCAGCCCUGGUGGGGGCUGUGUGUGUUGUGGGGCCAGGUCUCCAGCUGGCUGUGGGGCUGACCCACACCACCCCUGAGCCUGCUGCAGAAAACAAGCUCAGCGUCCAAACUGCAGCUCUUCAGAGAUAAAUAAGAAAUAUCUGCUGGUUUUCAGGCAGCAAGGACGCUGCCAUGUGCAGGUCACCACUCCAAGCCUGACACCAGAGCAUCAGUCAGUCCACCUGGGAGCUCUUGCUUUAUGCCCACAGUGUUUUCCCCUGUGUUUAAUAUCCUCUAGUUCACUGAUUUAAUCAUGGAGCUCUGGCCAAGAUGACAUAAUUAUUACAUU
rnacentral:lncRNA from 1 species